rnacentral:rRNA from 1 species
AGAGUUUGAUCAUGGCUCAGGAUGAACGCUGGCGGCGUGCCUAAUACAUGCAAGUCGAACGAGGUGCUUUGUAGCAAUACGAGAGUAUCCUAGUGGCGAACGGGUGAGUAACGCGUUGGUGACCUACCCCAAAGUGUGGGAUAACAGUCCGAAAGGAUUGCUAAUACCGCAUGUGGUCUUCGGGUUUAGAAACUGAUGACUAAAGGAGCAAUUCGCUUUGGGAGGGACCUGCGUCCCAUCAGCUAGUUGGUGAGGUAAUGGCUCACCAAGGCUACGACGGGUAGGGGACCUGAGAGGGUGACCCCCACAAUGGAACUGAAACACGGUCCAUACACCUACGGGUGGCAGCAGUAGGGAAUAUUGCACAAUGGGCGAAAGCCUGAUGCAGCAACGCCGCGUGUGCGAUGAAGGCCUUCGGGUCGUAAAGCACUUUUCUGGGAGAUGAGCAAGGACAGUAUCUCAGGAAUAAGUCUCGGCUAACUACGUG